rnacentral:rRNA from 104 species
AAAACUUUCAACAACGGAUCUCUUGGUUCUGGCAUCGAUGAAGAACGCAGCGAAAUGCGAUAAGUAAUGUGAAUUGCAGAAUUCAGUGAAUCAUCGAAUCUUUGAACGCACAUUGCGCCCCCUGGUAUUCCGGGGGGCAUGCCUGUUCGAGCGUCAUU